rfam:Burkholderia sp. lig30 ctg58, whole genome shotgun sequence.
CCCAUUUCGCGAAGGAUGUUCUGAGCGGAAUACGGUGGCCGCAUAUGUUGCGAGCCAGAUAGGGCAGAAAGCGCAGUCCGCGCAGACCGCGGCUGUCGCGUUUGCGUUGCUCCAGGCGUGACCGAUAGCGCCGAAGAGCCCGCCGCCCGAAGGCGCCCGCGUGCGCAUGAAAAAAGGCCUUCAUCUGGCGAUGAAGGCCUUUUACU